rnacentral:rRNA from 1 species
CAGCACCUCAAGUGGUCAGGAUGAUUAUUGGGCCUAAAGCAUCCGUAGCCUGCUCAGUAAGUUUUCGGUUAAAUCUGUACGCUUAACGUACAGGCUGCCGGGAAUACUGCAGAGCUAGGGAGUGGGAGAGGUAGACGGUACUCGGUAGGAAGGGGUAAAAUCCUUUGAUCUAUUGAUGACCACCUGUGGCGAAGGCGGUCUACCAGAACACGUCCGACGGUGAGGGAUGAAAGCUGGGGGAGCAAACCGGAUUAGAUACCCGAGUAGUCC